rnacentral:tRNA from 1 species
GCGGCCAUAGUGAAGUGGUUAUCACGGCAGUUUGUGGCACUGCAAUCAUGGGUUCAAUUCCCGUUAGCCGCCCCA